UACUCAAAAACCGAAUCCCAGUUCGGAUUGUAGGCUGCAACUCGCCUACAUGAAGCUGGAAUUGCUAGUAAUGGCAGGUCAGCAUACUGCCGUGAAUACGUUCCCGGGCCUUGUACACACCGCCCGUCACACCAUGAGAGUUGGAAAUACCCGAAGCCUGUGAGCUAACAGUAAUGAGGCAGCAGUCGAAGGUAGAGCCAAUGAUUGGGGUGAAGUCGUAACAAGGUACC
rnacentral:rRNA from 1 species